GCACUGAACAUUGUUGAUGUUCUAACGUCGACCCCUAAUCGGGGUUGCGGACAGUGCCUGGUGGGUAGUUUGACUGGGGCGGUCUCCUCCCAAAGAGUAACGGAGGAGCACGAAGGUGGGCUAAUCACGGUUGGACAUCGUGAGGUUAGUGCAAUGGCAUAAGCCCGCUUGACUGCGAGAAUGACAAUUCGAGCAGGUGCGAAAGCAGGUCAUAGUGAUCCGGUGGUUCUGAAUGGAAGGGCCAUCGCUCAACGGAUAAAAGGUACUCCGGGGAUAACAGGCUGAUACCGCCCAAGAGUUCAUAUCGACGGCGGUGUUUGGCACCUCGAUGUCGGCUCAUC
rnacentral:rRNA from 1 species